GACGAACGCUGGCGGCGUGCUUAACACAUGCAAGUCGAACGGAAAGGCCCUGCUUUUGUGGGGUGCUCGAGUGGCGAACGGGUGAGUAACACGUGAGUAACCUGCCCUUGACUUUGGGAUAACUUCAGGAAACUGGGGCUAAUACCGGAUAGGAGCUCCUGCUGCAUGGUGGGGGUUGGAAAGUUUCGGCGGUUGGGGAUGGACUCGCGGCUUAUCAGCUUGUUGGUGGGGUAGUGGCUUACCAAGGCUUUGACGGGUAGCCGGCCUGAGAGGGUGACCGGCCACAUUGGGACUGAGAUACGGCCCAGAAUCCUACGGGAGGCAGCAGUGGGGAAUAUUGCACAAUGGGCGGAAGCCUGAUGCAGCAACGCCGCGUGCGGGAUGACGGCCUUCGGGUUGUAAACCGCUUUCGCCGGUGACGAAGCGUGAGUGACGGUAAUGGGUAAAGAAGCACCGGCUAACUACGUG
rnacentral:rRNA from 1 species